rnacentral:tRNA from 1 species
UGGCUCGGUUGGUAGAGCGUGGUGUUUGCAAAGCCAGGGUUGUGGGUUUGAUUCCCAC